rnacentral:lncRNA from 1 species
UUCAAAAAGCCUUAUAAACUGGAAGGGAGGAGCAACAAUUAGUCUCCGCAAGAAAUAGCCCAAACAUUCAGAGUAGUAACGGAGUAAAUAAGCGCACCAGCACCAUGAAACAACUAAAUAACCUUUUUAUUCGCUCCUCUAGUCCCAGAAGGAUCCAUGGAGUUUCACGAGGCCGAUCACACGGCGGCAGCGCUAUGAACAAGACGCUAACAUCACGAAGCUAGAGACAAACAGGGGAGUUAAAACAAGUCGACAAAGCACACAGAAAGUCCUCGUCUCGAAGCCUCCUCUGUUUCAUUCAACCAUCUUAUUGAUUGUCACCCACCCCCUAAAGGGCGUC